CCUACGGGGGGCAGCAGUGAGGAAUAUUGGUCAAUGGACGGAAGUCUGAACCAGCCAUGUCGCGUGCGGGAAGACGGCUCUAUGAGUUGUAAACUUCUUUUGUACAAGGGUAAACCUGAAUACGCGUAUUCAUCUGAAUGUACCGUACGAAUAAGGAUCGGCUAACUCCGUGCCAGCAGCCGCGGUAAUACGGAGGAUCCAAGCGUUAUCCGGAUUUAUUGGGUUUAAAGGGUGCGUAGGCGGCCUGAUAAGUUAGCGGUGAAAUGUCCGGGCUUAACUCGGGAACUGCCUUUGAUACUGGUGAUCUAGAGAGUGUAUGCGGUAGGCGGAAUGUAUGGUGUAGCGGUGAAAUGCUUAGAGAUCAUGCAGAACACCGAUUGCGAAGGCAGCUUACCAGUCUAUAUCUGACGUUGAGGCACGAAAGCGUGGGGAGCGAACAGGAUUAGAUACCCCUGUAGUC
rnacentral:rRNA from 1 species